ensembl:lncRNA
CUGUUGAUACAGGAUUACAACAAAUAUUAAAAGAGAAUUCUGAAAUAGCACCACAAGGGAUAACUCAAAACUAUAUGGACCAGUAUCAGAAUAAAUUACUCAUAUAUACAGACGGGUCAAAACAGCCUGAGACUGGCCGCAACUGGUGCGGCUUUUUUCAUUCCCCGGUAUGAAGUAGCGGUCAAAAAAGGGUGACCGAUCAUUUAUCAGUGUACACUGUAGAACUGUUAGGAGUCCUAUUGGCACUGCAGUUUUUGGGAAAAAAUAAUCAGAACCAAGAUGUCGCUAUAGCUUCUGACAGUCUAUCAGCACCAUCAAGCAUACAGUCUGGGAAAACAUCAUGCAGACAAGACAUUGUCUACCAAAUACUUCAUCUGCUUCUCAUACUUCAUGCUAAGGGGCUGAGUGUUCCUUCUUCUGGGUUCCUGCACAUGUAGGGGUAGAAGGAAAUGAAACUGUGGAUGUACUGGCAAAGAGAUCUAUAAAGCAUGAAACAGUUGAUAUACAAGUACCAUUAAGUAGAGCAGAGAUCAAAACCAUUAUAAAGGGACAAGAGCAUAAAAUACGGCAGGAACACUGGGACACAGCUGACACCGGACGACACCUACAUACCAUACAAAAACAGUAGGCACGAGUGUGAGGCAGGGCAGGAACCCAAAGGAAGAGAUGAUAGUACACGUCUUAGAAUAGGUCAUGCUGGAUUAAAUCUAGCAUUAAACAGAAUAGGAAAACACCCCACUGGACUCUGCACACACUGCAGUACACAAGAGACGGUGAAACACGUACUGUUAGACUGCAAAAGGUAUGAGGAGGAAAGAACUGAGCUAGAGAUGCAGAUUGGAAAACAAAACAUGACACUAGAGAACUUGCUGGGGAAAACAUCUGGGGAAAUGCACCGCCCCCUAAUGAACUAUCUAAAAAUACUGGGAUAAGUGAGAGACUUUAAUAACUUAGCAUGAAUACCUAGUAUAUAGUUUGUUUUUUAUUUAUGUAUUAUUAUUAUUAUUAUUAUUAUUAUUAUUAUUAUUAUUAUUAUCAUCCUGCCAAUCUGCCGGCCACACUCCAGUCCCGUAGGUGGCGGUAAUGCACCUUCAGGUGGUAAAAACAAACAGAAGACGAAGAAGCGCCCCUUUCUGCUUUUCUCUCCAGAGAUUACAGAGUCAUUUUCCUGCGCGUGAGUUUUGAGAGGUUCCCUGCAGUUUCUAAAACUAUGUAUGUGUAUUUUUGUGCAUAUUGUGUGUGUGUUUUGAACAAAUGCUCGGCGUUGACAUUACCAUGCAGAUUUAUUGAUUUAUUUUUAUUUAAACGAAGUGUAUUGAAUUAGUUUUAACUUGUUAGCAUACAUUAGCGAUGUACAUUUACCUCAUUCGCACGCGCAAAUAAAAAAAGGUGAAUAGUUUUAUUAGCAUUAGCUCAUGUAGCUUUUGAGACUACAAACAGGUAAGUUUAUACUCAAAACGUUCAGCUUUUGUCGGCUGUCUACUUUUCUCACGCGUUUCACCGGACAUUAUGCCGUUCACGCUAGUCGGAAAAUGUUAACCGCGCGCUUGGGUUCGCCCCGGAAGUGGAAAGAGUGAACUGCGUUCACUUCCGGCCUCCGCCGCCAUCUUUUGUUAGCACCGUGUCGUCAGCUACCUGUUAAGACUGAAGCCCGUCACUUCCUCAAAACAACACGAAGUGUAGUAGUUAUUAUUAUUAGAGUAUUCGGCUUACCUCAACAUAACCUUUUUAAAAGAAUAAAUAAAAACUCCAACUAACCGUACUCUGACGCAGUUUCGUUUCCGUACCAGGAAAAAGUUUUAGUGUAGAAUAGAUCUGCGUCGGCUCCCGCGACCUGGUCCGCGUACACACCUGGAGUUGUAUUGCGCCCGCGCUCGCUGUAUUUCGGCACCUACCGUGUGUACUGCGGCAUUACUAACUCUUACCCGUUGAACAGUAAUGUUACGAAUGAAAGAAACGGUGAGGAGAUUGACUUCAGUUCGCACAGCAAACUCUUUAAUACCUGCAAUGUUCGUGGAAAAUCGGAUCGUUUGCAUGAAACAGCUGAGAAACUAGUGCCGAGUUUAUUAGAGGAUGUGACUUUAGUGUAGAACGCACAACACGUUGAACCUUGAAGUGGAUGGACGACGACAACAGCAGAAGACCACACGAACAGGACUCUGGAUCUAUCGUGGGUGCAGACUCGCCUAAAUGGCACAGCUGAAGAUUCAACUGUGUGUAUGUAGGGGAGUGCACCCGCGAAAGCCUCAGAUUCCUGUUCCUGUCUAAUAGGUGAGGAACCUGCUGAGGUCUUCAGCUGUUGUAGCUCUUCCAUUGUGCUGCUGCCUUAUCGUUGGCUGAUUGAAUAGCUACAUUCAGUGAGCAGGUGUUCUUAUUAAAGUGGAUGGAGAGCAUUCAGACAGUUGCUUGUUAAAUCUAUAAUGACGAUGUCGCUUACUGAAGGUAAAUAUACAUCACUAAUGUAUGCUAACAAAUUAAAGCUACUUGCAUGGAAUGUGAGUUUAUUACAGUAAAUAUGAAACAUGGCUAUAGAACACACUACCUGCUUUUUAUGGAAGGUGUGUUAACCCCCUGGGGACGUGAGAAUCGCCGGCGAGCUCCACCAUGGUCAGACUCCCUUGUAUCUUCUUUCUCACGUAAUAUCAUGACGGGGUUUUAACAUACGAGCAUGACUAAAAGCUGGUGAGAAUCUGUAGCGUGUCAGCUUUCAGGCGUGCCUACACAUAGAUCAUAUGAACAUCUGUAAAUCUUUCAAUUGUAGAAAAACUCCAGUAUGUCCCUGUAGUGAGAGAGAACUACGUAUCCGUGCUUCCACCUGUUUGCAUAUUAAUAACAUGUUAAUGUCAGUCAGUCAGGGGGAGGAGUGAAGCUACGAGUGUGUGCUGGUGAGAAACAGGAGUUUCUCUCUGAUGGGUGGAGGAACAUUCAGGAAGUCUGGUGCUUUACAGCAAUUCGAGUGUAUUGAAGUGUACAUUGCCUUUUAUUUCCCUGAUGUUUGCUAAAUUGCUGAAAUAAAUGUGAAUUUAUUAUACGUGUGAAUCCUACAAUAAAAAGGUCAAAUGUGUAA